GGUGCUUUGCUCUUUUGCUCUGGCGCUUUCUGGUUGGCGCUUCAAGUCGAAGGUCGAAGGUGAAUGUCUCCAAAAACAAAAUGGUAAACGAAAACAAAGAUGAUCACGAAAUCCAGUCACAAUUCGACGGUAGCGAAGAAAGAAUCAGUGCAUUCAAGUUGACAAAAUUUCCACAGACAAGAGUGCGCAAUAUGAUGAAAUUGGAUCCCGAUUUACAUUUAGCAAGUCAAGAAUCUGUACAUGUGAUUAGUAAGGCAGCGGAAUUGUUUGUGGAAUAUCUUGCUAAAGAGGCUUAUGAAAGAACUGCUCAAGGAAAGAGAAAACUAUUCAGAAGAAAGACCUAGAUUCAUGUGUAAAUGAAAAUGAUGAGCUUGCAUUUUUACAAGGGGUGUUGGAGUAAUACAACAGAAUUUGAAGAUAAAGAUCUUCAAAUCCACUCAUUCCUAAUAUUUACGCACUGAAAAAUAUAAGAAGAAUGAUCUGAUUAA